UACAGCCAUGCCAUGUUGAAACCCCGGUUCCCGUACAAUCAUCCAAGUUAAGCAACGUCAAGCCUAUUCAGUACAAAGUUGGGUGAUCGCUUCGGAAUAGCAGGUAC